AUUUAAAAUGUAAAUAUUUUACUAAGGUAGUAUUAGUUAUGUUCUUGAAACUUAAAAAAUUUGGCGGUAUUUUAGUCUAUUCAGAGGAACCUGUUCUAUAAUCGAUAAUCCACGAUGGACCUAACUUAAAUUUGUUUUUCAGUUUAUAUACCGUCGUUAUUAGAAUAUUUUAUAAGAAUAAUAAUUUUCAAUAAUUUUUAUAAAAAUGUAUAUCAGAUCAAGGUGUAGCUUAUAUUUAAGUAGAAAUGGGUUACAAUAAAUUUAUUUAUACGGAUGUAAAUAUGAAAAAUUUAUUGAAGGUGGAUUUGAUAGUAAAAUUAUAAAGAUUAAUAAUUUGAUUUUAGCUCUAAAAUAUGU
rnacentral:rRNA from 1 species